UACGUAGGGUGCAAGCGUUAUCCGGAAUUAUUGGGCGUAAAGAGCUCGUAGGCGGUUUGUCACGUCUGCUGUGAAAACUGGAGGCUCAACCUCCAGCCUGCAGUGGGUACGGGCAGACUAGAGUGCGGUAGGGGAGAUUGGAAUUCCUGGUGUAGCGGUGGAAUGCGCAGAUAUCAGGAGGAACACCGGUGGCGAAGGCGGGUCUCUGGGCAACAACUGACGCUGAGGAGCGAAAGCGUGGGGAGCGAACAGG
rnacentral:rRNA from 1 species